GCAAAAAUAACAUAUAAAAACUUUACAGAAAGUAGCAAAUUUCUAUUGGCCAGUUAUUUAUAUCUUAAUAUGCUUUGUAAAUUAAUGAUAUGGGAGGCAAGCAAACUAUAGCUUUUUUUUUUUUAAUUUUUUUAAUUUUUUGAGACAGGGUUUUGCUCUGUCACCCAGGCUAGAGUGUGAUGGCACAGUCAUGGCUCACUGCAAC
rnacentral:lncRNA from 1 species